AAGAAUGAGACUUAUGGCUAAGGAGAAGAUAAGCUUAUUGAUCCUAACCUGACUGAUUUUAUGUCAGUCUUUUACAUUGACAUUUGAUUGAUAUAAAUCUCAUACAACCCCAAAUUUUGGAUUAGUUUUUUUCCAAAUGAUUUCCAAUGAAUGCAAAUUCAUAGGUAUUUCUAAUUUACAUAUAUGUUAUAUAAAUUUAAUCUUAUGAAUGAUUCUGAGGUUGUUAAAGGUCUCUAAGGCAGAAGCUAUUAUCUCCCAAUUAUCCUUCUCCUUUCUUUAAUAUAAAUACCUGAUUUUGUCAUAGCAUUUUGCAGCUUAAAGACUGCAUUUUCCAGGCCUGAAAGCAGCCCAGUGAGCUUUGGGAGUAGGUUGGGGAAUUUUAGGUGGUUCUUCUUAGAAGUCUUCUUUAAAGUGAGCAUGCAUGCCCUUCUUUUCUCCCUCUGUCUAGUUUCCUGGAACUCAGAUAUACACGUGAUGUCUGGACCUCUGGCAGCCAUUUUGGAUGAUGACAUGAAGGAGUUACCAGCACUAAAAUUGCCAAAGAAGACCUGGAAGGUGUCUGGGUUGCUGAAGAGCUCAUGAAGCCACUGCAUCAGGCUGGACUGCUGAAUAUCAGUUUUCUUGACAGAACAAAAUCUUGUUUGUGUAAAUCACUAUUAUCCAGGUCUCUCUUAGUUGCAGCAAAAUUCAGUUUCUACAGAUAAAUUUCCACCUGAAGAACUUAGUAAACUGACAUAUGGACCAAAAAAUUUUUAUUGGAGGGUUUGUGAUUCCAAAAUGGAUCAAAUGACAGAUGCUGCUACAAAGAGACCAAUCAACAACUGCUCAGCAGAGAUACAGAUCUGAAGCACAGAAGUGCAAUAGACACUCCUCAUGCCUUCGCCAGGAGCAUGGAAUUCUUCCCAGCGUCACAGAAGAUGGCACAGCCUGGGGACAAUCGGGAAUCACCUGGAGGAUGGCAGAAAGGAUUUAAGGCAGCUCAUAAAUAUGUGCGAGACCUAUCACUCCUACGCAUGUGGCCAUUCAAGCGUUUUGAUGAUUGUACAUUUUAAAGCUAAAUGCAAAGACCUCUUUAUAAUUAGUUUGUGUGUGCUUCUGAGGGAAGUUACGGUAAUCAUUACUUUUGUUGUUAUUAUUUCAUUGUAUCUAAUGAACAAUGGUAAUAAAUCCCGUGGGAACCAACCAUAGUAUAACAUAUAUAUUUUGAAAACCGUUAGAUAUAAAAAUUCUAAUUGACUUGGAGAAGUUUCAUUCAUUUCAUUUUUAUUUAGUAGGAUAUUUCAUUGUCCUUGGCUUAAGCCUUUCUUUGCUUUAGAUGAGGUUAAGGAAAGACAAAAAUCUAACUGUGAUAAACACAGUCUGAAUUUCAUUAUUAACACUUUCAUAUAAAGACAGAUUAAUAGCCAAAGUAGAUGCUGGUCAUAAUGAAUGACUUUUGAUUCACUGUUUUCCUGAGUUAUUUUUACUUUGGUAGGCAUGUUAUUUUGGCUUAAAAAUAAAGUGCUAUUAGUAAUCAAGGAUGUGAGUUCAUAAAGAGUAAGUUAAAUUUUAAACCAUGGUUUAUUUGAGAUUUUGCUUUGUCUGGGAAAGGAUUUAAACCUCAGCAAGAAUGAUUUAGGGGUUAGAAAAACAAAUCUUUGAUAGGGAGAGUGUAACAUGUUGGAAUGGGUUGUCUUCUCAAUGUUUUUUAAUGAUUUGGCAGGCAUCUUGUCAAAUGAGCUGGGGUUUUAUUGAAUCUGAUAAUGGUAAUAUUAGGCUCCAAAUGAGUUUGACAGGGUGCCCAAAUGGCUGGAUCUCACAGGAUAAAGUUUAAUACAAAUAAGCGAUAAACACAUAGCCCAUUACCUGGAUUCAGAAAAGCAACUGGAAAAAUAGUUUACAUUGAAAAACAAUGAAAAACAGUGGGCUAGGGCUUUUAAAUAACAGUGAGUUCAAUAUAAGUCAAGAGAGUGGUGGGAUGCUAUAAGUCUAAUAGGAUUUAGAAUCAAUUUUGGAGCAAGCUUGCCAGACUGAGGAAGAUAUAACCCCAAAUCUACAUUCCAUAGUGGGCAAAACUUUUUAAAAAAAAAUACUGACUUUAUAUCUAGAUACCACACCUUAAAAGCAUACUUUUAAAAACAAAAAAAUGUACUUGAUGAGAAGAUAUAAAACCAUGUCAAAAACAAAACAGGAAGGAAAACUACAGGAAUAGAAGAUGUUUUACCCAGAGAAAAGAAGAGCUUCAUUGUUAAAGAGGAAAAGGUUUAUUCUCUCUGAUGUUGAAUUUCUUUUCUUUUUUUUUUUUAUUAUUACACUUUAAGUUCUAGGGUACAUGUGCAUAAUGUGCAGGUUUGUUACAUAUGUAUACUUGUGCCAUGUUGGUGUGCUGCACCCAUCAACUCGUCAGCACCCAUCAACUCGUCAUUUACAUCAGGUAUAACUCCCAAUGCAAUCCCUCCCCCCUCC
rnacentral:lncRNA from 10 species